AGCUCCAAUAGCGUAUAUUAAAGUUGUUGCGGUUAAAAAGCUCGUGGUUGAAUUCAAAACGUGUGCUGGAUGGUUCAUAUUAGUAUGAACUUGAAGGGCAGUUUUAAUAGUCGACAGACUUUAAUAAUAUUAAUUUAUUGUUUUAGCGAGUCGACGAGUUUACUCUGAAAAAAUUGGAGUGCUCAAAGCAGGCUCUUGCCUGCAUAGUGUUUCAUGGAAUAAUGAAAUAAGACUUUGGUCUUAUUUUGUUGGUUUUAGAGACCAAGGAAAUGAUUAAAAGGGACUGCCGGGGGCAUAUGUAUACCAGCGUUAGAGGUGGAAUUCUUAGAUCGUUGGUAGACAAUCUAUUGCGAAAGCAUUUGCCAAGAAUGUUUUCAUUAAUCAAGAACGAAAGUACGCA
rnacentral:rRNA from 1 species